rnacentral:rRNA from 1 species
CAGUCGUACUUACGGGUAAUCAGCCUUUUGGGUGUGAUUUUGUGGAGCGUGAGGAGUUAAACACCUUCAUGCCUGCAUAUUCGUGCUCUUGGGUGUACUUGCUCGUGUGGUUGGUUAACAUCAAUUUCGGACGCCAUAAAAUGGCUGGAGGAAUGUAGCUUCGAUCUUGUAUUGAAGUGUUAUAGCCUUCGGUAAUGUGAUGAUCGGGAUUGGAGAUUGCAACGAUACCC